AGGAAAAAAAAAAAAAAUAUAAAGAAAACAAAAAAAAAUUAAAAAAUAC
rnacentral:ribozyme from 12 species